ensembl:lncRNA
UGUCAGUUGAGUGAAGCUCAAGUUCUUAUGCCUUGUCAUAGAAAGAAUUCAGUGAGAGACACAGUGAUAGGUAAGAAGGGGAUUUAUUUAGAGAGGUGCACAUUCCAUAGAUAGAAUGUGACCCAUCUGAAAAGAUGGAGAGCAGCCCUGGGAGAGACACUCCACAGAGUGUGGACCAUCUCAGAAGUAAGCUGUGACUGCUAGACCGUGAGCUGGGAGGGAGCGAUACUGUUGGUGAUUGUCUUGAGCACAUCCCUAGGUAAGAGUUUUGAAACUUAACUUCAUGAGAAGGAAUAUUUCUUCACGUGUAAAUUUUUCACAUAUUUAAGAAUGGUAAUAUUCUUCAUGAGAAGGAAUAUUUCUUCACGUGUAAAUUUUUCACAUAUUUAAGAAUGGUAAUAUUCUUUGGAUUUCCCAAAGUAAUUCUAAACUGAAUUUAAAUGUUAGCUAUAAAAUAAAUUUGAACUGAAAAGCUGAUUAUGUUUCUUCAUAGCACAUAACCCACAAGAGGCCCUAGUAUGCAGAUGAGGAUGUGACAGUGAUUUUGGAGUUGCCUUCAACUUUGGGGGAACAGAAGAAACUGAAACACAAAACAAACUUAGAGAAGCUGAAAGAAGCUAAAGUAUUUAAAAACAUAUUAAAUGGGAAUCACUUCUUACCUUGAAAUGUUCUCAAAUGUCAUAGCACAAGAGAACCGCGGUGGCAUUGUGAAUAUAAGACCAAAAGAAGAUGGCAGCAACAGACCAUGGAACACGUCUGUACUGUUUUCCAGUCUCCACGGCCACCACCUGCCUCCACAGGCACCACCUAAGGAUUCUCAGAGCUGCAGGAAUGAGAGUUUUUUCAACUUUUAUCCUCAUGGUGACUCCCCAUGCAGUUUCUUGAGGGCUGUGGUAAACCAUUUCUCUGUAAUAAAAAUACCCAUGAUACUCUUUUCUCUACUGCCUCUUUGAAAUGUAAGAUGGCAGUAUUUAAAAAAAAAAGAUGGCAGUAUUAAAAUUGCUUAUAUUGAAUGUACUGUCAUUUCCAAAAUUCUUCACAUGGUCAAAUAAAAAUAUUCUCUUUGAAUAUGCAAA